rnacentral:rRNA from 1 species
CCUACGGUGCGCUGCAGUGGGGAAUAUUGGACAAUGGGCGAAAGCCUGAUCCAGCCAUGCCGCGUGUGUGAAGAAGGCCUUCGGGUUGUAAAGCACUUUCAGUGGGGAAGAAAGCCUUGGGGCUAAUACCCUCGAGGAAGGACAUCACACACAGAAGAAGCACCGGCUAACUCCGUGCCAGCAGCCGCGGUAAUACGGAGGGUGCGAGCGUUAAUCGGAAUUACUGGGCGUAAAGCGCGCGUAGGCGGUCUGAUAAGCCGGUUGUGAAAGCCCCGGGCUCAACCUGGGAACGGCAUCCGGAACUGUCAGGCUAGAGUGCAGGAGAGGAAGGUAGAAUUCCCGGUGUAGCGGUGAAAUGCGUAGAGAUCGGGAGGAAUACCAGUGGCGAAGGCGGCCUUCUGGACUGACACUGACGCUGAGGUGCGAAAGCGUGGGUAGCAAACAGGAUUAGAUACCCUUGUAGUC